GGGUCUGAUCUAAUUUCAAGCUUCUUCGACUUAUAAUCGCAUUCAAAAUAAAACUCAAUUUUCCAUAUUAAACGAUUCUUUGGAAAUAACAAAUAAUACAUUCUACAUACAAAUGUAUUUUCAAAGAAAUACUCUUAAAGGAAAGAAGUCCAAAAACUCAUCUAUAAUUAGCAGCAAACUUAUUGAUUUUUCUAUUUGAAAAAAUAACGAAGUUGUGACAUAAUUUUGUAGCAUUUCGCACAGCAAACUCACAAUAUACGUUGUUUUAUCAUUAACUGCGAGAAGUGCGAAGAUUACAAGCGUAGGAUUCCGCGAUUUAUGAAUGAUUUGGAGGAGUGAAUGAACGGGGUCGACGCAUGCGCGCCACUGUCCAGAUUCCAUUCCCAUUCCAAUCUUGUUUCUAUUCUCUCUUUCUAUGUUUUAUCCUUCUACUGCACUCCGAUAUCAUGAAUAGCUGUAAAAUUCAUAAAAAGAUUUUUUUAAAAUUUUUAUCAAGGUCUCUCUACGAUUAUAGAAGUAACAUUACUAAGAAAAAGAAAGCGUUUCUUUCAUUGUUAUGAAAAUAUUUACAUAACUACAUGGAAACCAACCCAAUCCAGAGUAAAUUAAGCUUUUUGGUUUUGCGAUUUUAUUUUAUGACAAAUGUGAGAUUUCCAAUCUGAUAAGAUCAGAAUAUUAUGUUAUUUUUUUUUAUAUACUUUUCGCUUAUUUUAAUUAUUAUAUUAUAAUUAUUUAUAAUUAAAUCAUCAUUUUUUUUUAUUAAAAGUUAUGGAUAUUAAAUCAAUAGUUUAUAUAAUUUUCUUAUAAAUAAGAAAAAAAAACAUAUAAUUAUUUUUGAAAACUUUACUUUCUGAAAAUCACUAUCUUUCAGACAUAAUUUUUUAGAAGACUUUCAAAAUAUUUAUUUUCCUGUAAAGAAUAAUUUUUUUUGUAAUAAAAACAAUAUUUUAAAGUGUUAUAUCUACAAUUUUCAAAACUUAAAAAAAAUUAAGUUAUUUUUAUUACAUUUUUAUAUUUUUUUAAUUACUGUAGUAUAUCUCGAAGAAAAGUAUUUGUGAUUCAUAUAACACUCAUAAUAGCAAUUUGUCGAUACAAGCUGAAAGUUAUAAGAUAACAAAAUCUCUAAAUAUUGAAUAAAACUAUAUGAAUUCAACACAAGUAGUUGAUCAAUACAAUUGUAAAGAUAUUGUCCAAUUUAUAUAUGAAAAUUUUUUUUCCAAUAUAGUUUCAAUAAUAAAAGAAACAUGUAAUUUUACUUUUGACAUAUUUUUCUCAAUAGUCUAAAAAUAAAUAAUUUAAUAACUAAAAAUUGUUUCAAUGUUUGUGUAAAAAAGAUAAACAAAUAAAACAAUCUAUAUAAAUUAUUCAAAUUUCAUGAAUUUUUCUCUGUAAAUUAUAAUAUUUUUAAAAAUAUUAUUUAAUAAUAAAAUAUACAAAAAUAUACAAAAAUAUAAAGUUUGUAAUUUAAAAGAAAUACUAAAAGAGAAUAAUAUCUUAUGAUGAGUGAAAUUAUAUUAAAAAAUAUAAUACGAUAAUAAUUAAUAAUAAAAAUAUAUCGUAAGAAAAUA